AUUGAACGCUGGCGGCAUGCUUUACACAUGCAAGUCGAACGGCAGCGGGGGCUUCGGCCUGCCGGCGAGUGGCGAACGGGUGAGUAAUACAUCGGAACGUGUCCUUGAGUGGGGAAUAACGCAUCGAAAGAUGUGCUAAUACCGCAUAUUUCUCAGGAAGAAAGCAGGGGGUCGAAAGACCUCGCGCGGACGGAGCGGCCGAUGGCAGAUUAGGUAGUUGGUGGGAUAAAAGCUUACCAAGCCGACGAUCUGUAGCUGGUCUGAGAGGAUGAUCAGCCACACUGGGACUGAGACACGGCCCAG
rnacentral:rRNA from 1 species